CCGAGCUGAUGGGGCUGAGGCGCCACGAGGGCAAGGGAAGAGCGGAGGAGGCCCCGAGGCGAGGGCUGCGGGGAGGCCGAAGCGCCCUGCCCUCUGCGGGGCAGACGACGAGGCUGGGCCUAGCCGAGUGGGCCGCCAUGGCGACACGCCAGCUCCUCAGCUUGGGCGAGUCACUGUGAAGGGAACCUGCAAGGCCACUGAAAUAGCCCCUUUCCCUGUGGGAUUUUGCUGUUGGGGGGGGAAUGGGAUUAUGGCUCGAGGGUCAUUUUUCCUCUCGAAGGUGACUAGGCUGCCCCCCUUCUCCAGAGGAUGUGCCCAUGGGCAAACCACUAAACGUUAGGCCGCGCUUUUGUAACCACUGCCCCGGGAGUAAAUGCCAUUGAACUCAAUGGGGUUUGUAUCUGAGUAGUCGGGGAUAGGACUGCGCUUUAAGGAUUCCCGCUUCCAUCCAGAGGGAUUAAAAUAACAGAAUUACUGCCUUCAGAGCUGGCACUUGGCGUUGGGGAAUUGUUAUCAUCAUCAUCAUUUAUUAAAUUUGUAUUCCGCCCCUUCAUCCAAAGAUCACAGGGCAGGUCGCAAUUUCAAAAUACAAAAUAACACAAAAUGUGUAACGAACCAACACACACACACACACCCCUACCUCCCACAAACACCUUUAAAAGACUUUAGAAUAUUUCUUUCAGCCAAAGGCCCAGGUUAUACAGAAACGUUUUUUGCCUGGUGCCUCAAUAUAUGUUAUAAUCCCACUAUUUUGUUGUUGCUCAAGUGUGUUUGAUGAGGAACGAGGCAUCUCUGGAAGGAGGUGUUGAGUUAUGGGAUUAGGGGUUUAGGCCGCAACCUUUGGGCGCAUGCACCCACAAAUCCCAUUGUGUUCUGUCGGUUUGUUUUUUUAAACGUCUUAGUAGUUGUGCCAAGGACUGUUCACUACACAGGGCCUCAGCGGAUCUCAGCAAAGCCUUGCGACAUGGCAGUGGGUAUGGCGCUUAACAGCAUCCUAGAUAAGUUUUGAAACGGCUUGGUAUUUGAUUGUUAUGGUAAUGAUGCAUUGAUUCUCAUUUUAGUUGUUCUUUCGUAAGCAUAUUUACAUGGAAAAGUGGCUUACUAAUUUUAAUAAUAAUAAUAAUAUUCCUUGCUUCAAGGAAUAUUAUUAGUUUUAGAUUUUAUGAUUUAUGUGUUUUCCAUUUGGUUGUGUACUUUUUGAUGUGUUUUAUUUAUUGCUUAAGACUUUUGUUAUGUUGGUAACUAUGUAAAUCUUGUCAUGUUGUAAGCCACCUUGAGCAUUGCUUUAACUAUGAAAAGGGGGCAUACAAAUAAGAUGAUGAUGAUGAUGAUGUUUACAAUUUAAAAUAAUUGAGGAGGGCAUGUAGACACUUUAAAAAGCAUUUUAUAUGGGAGGGGUCAUAAUCCUUUCCUGAAAUUUUGUAGGGAAUAAUAGAGAAAACUAUGGCAACGGGAUGAUCAUGUGUAUGUACUCUUUAAUCAGUACAGUGGUACCUCAGGUUACAUACGCUUCAGGUUACAGACGCUUCAGAUUACAGAGUCCGCUAACCCAGAAAUAGUACCUUGGGUUAAGAACUUUGCUUCAGGAUGAGAACAGAAAUCGUGCUUUGGCGGCGCAGUGGCAGCGGGAGGCCCCAUUAGCUAAAGUGGUGCUUCACAUUAAGAACAAUUUCAGGUUAAGAACGGACCUCCAGAAAGAAUUAAGUUCUUAACCUGAGGUACCACUGUAUUUUAGUGUGCGAUUGUGUUUUCAUGUUCCUCUUUCAUUCCUUUUGGAACUAAGGCAGUGUAUACAUGUUUAAUGUAAAGUAAGCAAAUGAAAUGUCCUUUCAUACACAUCCUUGCUAAACCCUGGGACAUAAAAGGUGGCACAUUAAUUCAUCUCUGCCGUUGAAUUGGGGAGGAAUCGCCCCCUCCCCAGUAAAAGUGGACAGGUGUGUGCUUGCAUACACCUAACUCUUCUCCCACCCAUCCCUUUUCAAGACUGGUGGUUUCCAGCAGUGCCCUCAUUGCAGCAUCUCUCCUCCUCCAAUGACUUUUGUUGGGAAAUGCCCUCCCUUAACCUUUCUCCCAAAUCCUCCUUUUCCCCAAAUGGUAUCAGGAAGAGAAAAGCCAAAAGGAUCAGGUGUGUGUGUGUGUGUGUGUGUGUGUGUGGCUGUAGCUCACGCAACCAGCCUUAAAAAAAAAAAAAAAGCGAACUCCCAAUAGCCCUCCUUCCUCCUCCCACAAGAAUCCCUCCUCCCUCUCUUCUUUCUCAUUCAAACGCAGCAACUCCUGUUGUGUCAGUUUUUAUCUUCUUCCUACCACCACCAACAGCCACCGCUAGGCAGAGGAAGAUCAGCAGCAGGUAAAAGAAACCUCCCUCCCCCCCCCUCAAAAAAAGCACCCCAUUUUAAAGGUCUCGUCGUUAUGCUAUAUUUCUUCCUCUUUCUUUCCACCCCUCCCACCCACCAAAAGGGAGGAAGAUAAAUAGAUGAGGAAGGGGAAGAUUAGCCUCGCUUCCUCUAAACUUCUUGCUGUGUGUGAUUUCUGCCUCGUCUCUUUUGGCUUGCAGCCUCUCUCUCUCUCUCUCCCUUCCUUCUUUCUCUGCCAUCCAAGUAGAGGUUUGAAACUUCCAUUAGAGACAUAGGUAUUUGUUUUCAAUACUCGAUAUGUCGAUCUUAAGGAGGAGGAGGUGGGGGGAAGAGGAAGGAUCUUCUUUGUGAGUCAGGGAUGUUCCUGGAGGAAAGGUUUGCAAUAUGUUUUGCUCAUGGUUUGGGGAGGGGGUGCGCGGGUGGAGGGGGGGCUUCAGAUUUGCUAAUGAAAAGUUUAUUGAUCCGUUUUUGUCAGUUUCAUUUUGAAUGCUGCUUCUGCGGAAUCUAAUCUGCCCCGGGGCGUUGCAGAGUUAUUUCUCCCCCACCUCAAAUUGUGUGUGUGUAUACAGUAUAUAUAUGUGUGUGUGUGUGUGUGUGUGUGUGUGUACACAAUUUUUUUAAAAAAAGGGGGAGUGGAAAAGGAAGAGCUGUGGCUCUUCAACAACAAUAGACUUUGCUAGGAGAGGAGGAGAAUACAAAUUCAUUAAAGUGUAUUUGGUGAUGUGAACUGACUUCCGUAUACUGAUACCUUACCUAUAUAUGGGGAGACAUUAAUUAUUGGCUAAUCGGCUUCACUUUGGGUGUGUUAGGAUUUCUGCAGUUGAAAUAAACAAAAACCUAUUCGCCAAAAGCAGUCAUUCGACAUGCAGUCCCGUGUGCCCACCCCUCCUCUCCCCCAUUAUAAUAUAUGCUGUGUGUGAAUCGCCUUGUGAGUAUCAGAAUCGAAGUGUUAAAAAGAGUUUCUGAAGUGGUGGCCAGCAAAAUUUCUGUCUUGGGUUUCUAGCUUGAAGGGCUUUUGGAUGUUCGAAUAACUUCGGCAUUGUGGUUCAGAUGGAGUGUUUGCAAAGGAAAACAAAACGAAAAGGUUCCUUGUGGUUAUUUUUUUGUCCUUCCUAAAAUGACCUUGAAAGCUAAAAUAUACACAUCGCUUCUGAUGGGUGGAAAGGGUGGGGGGGCUUAGGGGCGAGUAGAAGAAAGAAUCUAGCGUAUAGCCAAAAGCAGAAAUAGGAACUUAAUCAUGUAGAUGAAGUGAAAUCUUUUACAGAAGAAUGUGAAAAGGGAAGUUUCUGCAUGUGAAGGGAACAGAAGGAAAUAACACACUUACAAAUAUGUCGUGGGGGGGGAGAGAAGAGUCAUAUCAUUCUUCACAAUGUAUUAGGCCUUGAGAAGCUUGCCUGAUAUGAUCAGGAAGGCAGAGAAAUAAAACGCCUAACUACACACUGAAUAGCAGGCAUUGACUUGCUGACCACUUCUGUUGGCAGCUAGGGGCUGGUUUUUGUGUCUGCAAAGGUAUCUGAGCACAGUGCUCUUAUAACAAUGGCUUGCAAAUGUUUUCUCUCGCCAUGUUUUGUUACACUUCAGGGGGUCUUCUGUAGAUUUGGGACUUGAGAUGCCUUUUUUUUAAAAAAAAAUGUUAUGACUUCAUGAUUAGUUGUUUUCUGGAUCAUCAUGAAAGGAUUGGCUCACAUAAGUAGGUUAAACUGCUUUCUUUGGAGGUGGGGGAGGGAAAGUAGGUGGAGUUUGAUCCUCUCUUCUCUCCCCCCCCCCCGCCCACUAGUUUUAUGUGAAUUGAUGAGUCAGUAUUUAAGAUGUGCAAUAGGCAUGCCAGCUUGUGAUGGGACAUCAGUUACUUCUUUUUAUUAAGAACUCCCACUUGAGAGAAUACUAAAAUGUAUAUGUUGCAUGGUUAAUAAAUCUGGGGGUGGGGGAAAGAGAGAGAGGAGAAUUCCCUUGCUUUUCUUGAAGUGAUGCUACUGUUGAGGCUUUAUUCAGAUAAUCAUCAUGCAUAACAAACAGCUGUAGCUGAGAAAAUAUUUCAGUGGACUAUUGAUUGAUCUGACAUACCAAGUUAUAUUCCCUUCUGCAAAGUUUGAGUCGUUGAUUUCAGUUUCAUUGUGGUUAUGUGUGCAUGCAUUGGAUUUCUUUUUGUUUUUUGGAGAGAAAGAAGAGUGUUAGCCUGUUUGGAAAAACUUAGCAUGUACAUAUAGCUAUUUGAUAAUAGUGGGUUUUUUUAAAUAUAAAAUAAAAAUGUAUAAGGUUGAUUCAAUUAUGUCUUCAUCGCUUUGGAGCUGCUUGAAUGACUUGACAUGAGAUUAGGUGCAACAAAAGAGAAGGCAGGGGAACAACAGCUGCCUUCCAGUUCUGAGGCACUAUUGCUCUUAGCAGGAAGGCAUUUUAUCUUUUAGUGCUGUGUUGUCAGGUUUAAAUGUUAAAUAUUUAUAUUCCUGUGAAAGGUUGUUAGACUACACUUGUGUGUUAAAAAAAAAGCACACACAAACCAUGCAUUUACUAGAGCCUUAAAAAAAAAGAUGGCUUAUAUUUCUGCCUUUACCACAGCUGUUUAAGAUCUGAUGUUAAAAUACCAAAUCAUCCCAACUUUUAGCUCAGCUUAUUUUUUGGCUCUGAAAAGAGCCACCACUAGUUUGUACUUGCUUGGCUGCUGUGUGGUAAGAACUUUUUAAGGUGUGGCUUUAAUGGCAGCUGACGAUUCUUGCUGAGAAACAAGUCUUAUUUUUGGUACGUGUCUCUAUGGAAAUUCUAUGUGAGGCAAAAUUGCAACAUUAAAUGUCCCCUUUAAAGGGGGAAAAAAGAUUUUAUAUUGUCCACUGAAUAGCUCUUCCUUAAAGGAAAUAAAGACCAGUGCUGAAAACUUCCUCCCAAGUUACAUAUACAGCAUACAUAUUUUAAAGUAUGGGUGUCUUUUCUAUAAAGUUUCAACAUAAAUAACUUUUUCAUGACCUAUAGAUGUUGGGGUUUUCUGGUUGAUGUUGUUGUUCCAAAACACAGCAUAUCUUAUAAUGGUAACCCAUUUUAGAGUAGAUGGGAAGCCAUUUCCUGGAUUUGUUUUAAUUAAGCAGUGUUAUUUAUAAAUUUGUGGUUCUUUAAAAGUGCCAUAGUGAAGGGAAGCUAUAUUUAUAGGGGUUUUAAGAGGAUUGCUACUGACUCCUUCAACAGAAAUUGCAUUAGAUUCCAGAUGGAGAGCUAUUGGGUAGCUUGGAAUAUCUCCUUUGUUUUGGUGGAGACUGGCAAGGCGAGGGGGUGGCGAUAUGACUGGAAAAAAGGUACUCUGCACUAUUCUUUCACAUUUGUUUCAUUUAGGGCUUCUUUGAAAAACUCUCUGCCUCUCAAACACUUAGCUGCAUUACUUAAGAGUGUUGCUAUACUUUGCAUCAAUGAAAUUGCACGGUUGAAGAUUUUAUUUGUCUCCUAUAUGUACAAGAUCAAAGUGAAAAGCACGUCCCUGAUCCUAAUCGUGUUGCUUGAAAGUAAGUCCUACUGCUAUUAGUGUGGUAUAAUUCCAAGCAGUAUGUUCAGCAUCAAGGUGCAAAUUAUUGCAUGUUUGCUUGGAAAAAUAGUUGAAAAUGAAAUUACAGAUCUCAUUUGACUUUCAGUAUGGUAGCAGCUGUGUAAAACUGAGACUUUGUAAUUAGGCUUUUAUAGGCCAGGGAAGUACUGUAGUGAUAAAUAUGGCCUAGUUUUAAAAAUAUCUAAAAGAGAAAAUUCUCACUACUAUGCCAGGUAUGGCGAAAUGUUAUUCAUACCACACACACAAAAACACACACUAUUGGCGAAUGAAGGACUUCUUUCAGCUCUUUACCUAUAGUUAAAAUGACUAAGCUUUUCCUAUCUUUAGGCAAAUUUGAAAGAGAAGCUUGACCUUUGAGUUUACUUGCUUCCACAGAGAUUCAGAUGAUUAAAUAAGUAAGGCUAUUGGACUGUCAUUUACUUAUUUAUCUCAUGUCAUCCUUUCCAGUUCAACCUACUAUUUAAAUGUAGAAAAUCAGCAAAAUUUCUGCCACAGCAGGGCUGCCAUUACUAAGCUUACAAGCCCUCCUUUAUUCUCAUUCUCUUGAUUAGAACAUCAGGAGUCCAAUACAAUUGCCCCCCCCCCUUUGCAUAAUUACAUUUGCUACGCCUUUGGCAUAAAAGAUAUUCAUUCAUUAUGAACACUUUUUGAGCAUUUUUAAUGACACUCAAAUCUGUGUAAGGCUCCAGCAAAUAAAAAUUAGCAGAUGAAUAAUACAGAAAAGUAUAAAAAGGUUGGAUCCUAUCACUGGAGAUUUGUAACCACUUACAGUAUUUGAAUUGGGGAAAACAUGUUUGUAUAAUGUCUUGUGUAAUCAAGUUUUUGGACCUUAGAAAUUGGGUGAGUAAUCUGUGCAGCUUGUGUGUGUAAAUGUGGAUUAACAAUUGUAAAUUUAAGUUUACUAGCCCAAAGUUAGUGAGCUGGUAGCAUUUAUAUUCUUGUUCCCAAUCUGGGGCAAACAUGUGGUGGUUCUUUAAAAGUAUGUUUUGUAGUUUAUCAGUAGUUAGCUGAAUUCUUGGUUUAACCUUUUUAAAAUUGGUUCAAGUUAAAUAACGUUUUGCUCUAAGCAAGGAAUCCUUGGGUCUGUUCAAGAAUUAGAAGAAUUCCACAAGUAGGAAUUUUCUCCUUUUCUCAACCUCCUGAACUGUUCACAUCAACUAUAUCAGCAGCUUUAAUUAGCAUCCUUGAAUGACAUAGCAAAAGAGGUUAGUAAAUAGCAUUUUGUGUUGCCUGUUUGUGUAUGUUAGAAAAGUAGGGGGGUAGCACAUAAAUUGGCUCAUGAGGGCAUUCCACUUUUGGGGAAACAAUUUCUGGCACUUUGGAUAAUAUGACAAAUUCCUUUUUGCCAGAUGAGUCUCUUAGUCAGUUGGGUUGAUCAAAAGGACCUCACAUUCUCCACUUUAAAUAUUGAAAAUAACAGUCCAGGUUUAGAAAGCAUAGAUCAGGGUCAGCAACCUUUUUUCAGCCGUGGGCCGGUCCACCGUCCCUCAGACCAUGUGGUGGGCCGAACUAUAUUUUG
rnacentral:lncRNA from 1 species